GCGUGAGUGAAGAAGGCCCUAGGGUUGUAAAGCUCUUUUGCCCGGGAAGAUAAUGACGGUACCGGGAGAAUAAGCCCCGGCUAACUCCGUGCCAGCAGCCGCGGUAAUACGGAGGGGGCUAGCGUUGUUCGGAAUUACUGGGCGUAAAGCGUACGUAGGCGGAUGCGCAAGUUGGGGGUGAAAUCCCGGGGCUUAACCUCGGAAUUGCCUUCAAAACUGUGCGUCUUGAGGCCGAGAGAGGUAAGGGGAAUUCCUAGUGUAGAGGUGAAAUUCGU
rnacentral:rRNA from 1 species